rnacentral:rRNA from 1 species
UACGGAAGAUCCAAGCGUUAUCCGGAAUUACUGGGCGUAAAGAGUUGCGUAGGUGGCAUUGUAAGCAGGGCAUGAAAGCGUGUGGCUCAACCAUACAGACAUGUUCUGAACUGCAAAGCUAGAGAACGAGAGAGGUAGAUGGAAUUCCCAGUGUAGGAGUGAAAUCCGUAGAUAUUGGGAGGAACACCGAUGGCGUAGGCAGUCUACUGGCUCGUUUCUGACACUAAGGCACGAAAGCGUGGGGAGCAAACGGG